AAAUACGGUUGAGAGGGGGGAACCCCCGUGGGAAAAGCGUUUCUCUGGCCGGAAUUUACUUCUAGGAGCUAAAUCUCGGGACCGAACAGGGCUUAGACCCCCUGUUUUCCCCCCCAUAAAUGGGAAUUCACAAGUUUCAGGGGGAUUCCCCCCCUCAGUUUUGCAACUAAAGUUUAAAGCUUUCAACUUGGGGAUUCCCGGUUGCACCCGGGAAUUCAAAAGAAUUUUUAGGGGACCCGCACAAGAGCCCGAGCCACCCAUUAAUUCCGAACAACGCUAAGCACCUUUACAUUCCUUGCAUUCUUUCACAAACCUAGGAGUAAGUCUUUUCCUUUGGCGGCCAAAGGAACAAGCGGUCACUGGUGCUCUUAAUCUCCUUUCACAAGAUUUUGGUAAAUUCCAACACUUAGCCCAACCGUGGAUGUUAGUUGCCAGCAUUCAGUUGGGCACUGUAAGGUGACUACCGGUGACAAACCGGAGGAAGGUGGGGAUGACGUCAAAUCAUCAUGCCCCUUAUGACCUGGGGUUCACACGUGCUACAAUGGACAGAACAAAGGGUCCCCAACCAGCAAAGUUUAGCCAAUUCCACCAAUUUGUU
rnacentral:rRNA from 1 species